rnacentral:rRNA from 1 species
UGGGGAAUAUUGCACAAUGGAGGGAACUCUGAUGCAGCGACGCCGCGUGAACGAAGAAGGCUUUCGAGUCGUAAAGUUCUUUUAUAUGGGAAGAUAAUGACGGUACCACAAGAAGAAGCCCCGGCUAACUACGUGCCAGCAGCCGCGGUAAUACGUAGGGGGCUAGCGUUGUCCGGAAUCACUGGGCGUAAAGGGUUCGCAGGCGGAAAUGCAAGUCAGGUGUAAAAGGCAGUAGCUUAACUACUGUAAGCAUUUGAAACUGCAUAUCUUGAGAAGAGUAGAGGUAAGUGGAAUUUUUAGUGUAGCGGUGAAAUGCGUAGAUAUUAAAAAGAAUACCGGUGGCGGAGGCGACUUACUGGGCUCAUUCUGACGCUGAGGAACGAAAGCGUGGGUAGCAAACAGG